rnacentral:tRNA from 1 species
AAAGGGAGACCUAAUUCAGGUAUAAGACGAAAAAAUAGUAGUCGAAACCAAGAAUCAAUCCCAAAAGGUCGGAACGAGGUAUGUGGCUUUCAAACUAGGUUCUGGGUUCACAAAAGACCUGAAUCAGGAACAAGGGCUAUUAGCUCAGGUGGUUAGAGCGCACCCCUGAUAAGGGUGAGGUCCCUGGUUCGAGUCCAGGAUGGCCCACCUGCACAGGUGGCAAAAACAAGAGAAGCGAGGAAUCAGCACCUUAUCUUAUCUAUAUAUAAAUACAAGUAAGAGAGAAUGCUGGCUCUGAGUAAAGAGUCCAGAGGAACCUUGAAAACUGCAUAGAGCUAGGUGAAAAAGCCAAAAAAGAAGACCGCAAG